GACGAACGCUGGCGGCGUGCCUAACACAUGCAAGUCGAACGGGGUUGAGUGCUUCGGUAUUCAACUUAGUGGCGAACGGGUGAGUAACGCGUGAGGAACCUGCCUUUCAGUGGGGGACAACAGUUGGAAACGACUGCUAAUACCGCAUAACACUUUUGGGGGACAUCCCCCGGAAGUCAAAGCUUUAUGUGCUGAAAGAUGGCCUCGCGUCUGAUUAGCUAGUUGGCGGGGUAACGGCUUACCAAGGCGACGAUCAGUAGCCGGUCUGAGAGGAUGAACGGCCACACUGGAACUGAGACACGGUCCAGACUCCUACGGGAGGCAGCAGUGGGGAAUCUUCCGCAAUGGGCGAAAGCCUGACGGAGCAACGCCGCGUGAGUGAUGACGGCCUCGGUUGUAAGCGUCUCGUGAUCGGGACGGAACGGUCGAGCGAGACGGAAU
rnacentral:rRNA from 1 species